GUUAAUGUAGCUUAAGYAAAGCAAGGCACUGAAAAUGCCUAGAUGAUACUCCAUAAACA
rnacentral:tRNA from 1 species